UCAUCAUGUUGUUUGUCCCUAAUUACCAUGUCGUUUGGGCCUACACGCCAUGUUGUGUACUAACUGGUUCCAUGUUGCUUUGACCCUAGUUACCAUGUUUUUUUUCCUAACUACGAUGUUGUUUUGGCUUUAAUUAUCAUGUUCUUUGACCCUAGUUACCAUGUGUUUUAGUCAUAGUCGUCAUGUCAUGUACUAACUGGUUACCAUGUGGUUUUGGUCUUAGUUAUCAUGAUGUUUGACCAUAGGUACCAUGUCUCUUAGACAUAGUGGCCAUGCCAUGUACUAACUGGUUACCAUGUUGUUUUGGCCUUAGUUAUCAUGUCGUUUAAACCUCGUUACCAUGACGUUUAACCAUAAUCGUCAUGUUGUGUACCACCUAGUUGACAUGUCGUACGGCCUUAGUUACCAUGUUGUUAGGUCCUAAUUGCCAUGCGCCGCACUACAUAGGUUGCCAUGUUUGUGUUUUUUAACACCGAUGCAAUUACCAUUUUUUGCCUCUAAUUACCAGUUUAUUUUAUCGCCGUUUAUAUGUUCUGUACUAUCUAGUUGAUACGUACCUUUACCUGGUUGUCGAUUGAAUUUGGUUAUAAUGCUUAAUGCCCAAGUGCGGUAUGCAACUUUCCUCCAUCUUGGCUGUUGGCAGUACUUAGCAAGAAUGAAUAUAUCUGUUUGUUAGUGACAGACGGAACCGCGAGGAUGUGCCAUGGUCCUAAUAAGCUAGCUGGGUUUAGCCCAACACAGCUGAGCGCGCGACCCAGCGGAAAAAAAAAAGUUCAGCGACGCGCAAGAGCGCGCUAGCCAGCAGUAGGAGACGCCGCUCGCCAGCGCUAACGGGUGACGCCGCUCCCUAGCAAAGUGUAUGGACUGGUGAAGCAAAUAGGGUUGAAUAAAGGCUCAGCGCAUAUCCAUUUUCUAGAAGAUUUUUCCUUUCUCAAUUGCUACACUAUUGUGCCCUACGACGAGUUUAAACAUCGAGUCCAACUACCUAUGUCUUAUCUUAGAAGCGGAAGACUUCAUGCAACAUAAUGUGACCAUCCUAAUUCUGAAUUUUCUCAAGAAGGCAUAAUUGACUGCAAAAAAAGGGGGGGCGCACAAAACUUUUUGGGAAAUGUGUGUUUAUUUCAAUUCUGGUAUUUGGAAAAAUUGUACAUGAAUGAGAAUGGAUAAAUGGACACCUGAUACAUAUUGAAUAUUCUAGGCGAUUAAGAUCUGUGAUUCAAUAUUGGGAUGAGGACAAGGCUAAAUUUGGAGAAAAGUGAGACAAGAAAAACGAAAAGUGGAAGCAGGGCACAGCUGGGAUCCCAAGUAAGUGGUGAAUACGUAAACAAGGGCAUGUCACCGGGCGGAGGAAAUCGAAGGAUUACAGUGCUAUUGCCUGGUGCUGAACCUUGAAGUAGUCAAACAGAUGGUCACGUGCUCACCGCCAGCGACCAGACAGCAGAUGUCAACGACGAGGCCGCUGGUUCGCCGCCUCUAGAGCUCUCCUGGAACGUCCGUGGCUGGAGGAGGGAGACGGCGGUCCAAGCAACGGCUUCGGGGACGGGAAAACUGG